CGAUCCUUUGGUAGGGGCACAACUGGAACGGUUGCUAAUACCCCAUAUGCUUUCGAGUGAAAUGGAUUUUUCCGCCUAAAGAGAAGCUUGCGGCUGAUUAGCUUGUUGGUGAGGUAAUGGCUCACCAAGGCGACGAUCAGUAUCUGGUUUGAGAGGACGAUCAGACACACUGGAACUGAGACACGGUCCAGACUCCUACGGGAGGCAGCAGUGGGGAAUUUUCCGCAAUGGGCGAAAGCCUGACGGAGCAAUACCGCGUGAGGGAUGACGGCCUAUGGGUUGUAAACCUCUUUUUUCAGGGAGGAAUAAAAUGACGUGUACCUGAAGAAUAAGCAUCGGCUAACUCCGUGCCAGCAGCCGCGGUAAGACGGAGGAUGCAAGUGUUAUCCGGAAUCACUGGGCGUAAAGCGUCUGUAGGUGGUCCAAUAAGUCAACUGUUAAAUCUUGGGGCUCAACCUCAAAAUCGCAGUCGAAACUAUUAGACUAGAGUAUAGUAGGGGUAAAGGGAAUUUCCAGUGAAGCGGUGAAAUGCGUAGAGAUUGGAAAGAACACCGAUGGCGAAGGCACUUUACUGGGCUAUUACUAACACUCAGAGACGAAAGCUAGGGUAGCAAAAGGGAUUAGAUACCCA
rnacentral:rRNA from 1 species